rnacentral:lncRNA from 1 species
AGAUAACAAGGAAGUGUAAGAGAAUUGAUCAAGGCAAACACUUUCUUCCUAAAGCCUGCAGACUCUGGAGUUCAGAAGUUCUGAAAUUCACAGAAGCUGAGAGUGAUAGAAGCUUGGAACUAUUAUACAUGCCCUCUGAUUUCAAAGUUUAUGUUCCUAAAGCAUUGAUUGCCCUAAUAAUUAGUAAACGUUAGAAAUUUAUAUUUGGUUUACUAAUGCUGUGUAAUUGUUAUCUUGUUUGUAAAUUGGAAUUGUAUGUGACUUUUUUGGGGGGGGGUUGUUUUUACUGCUAAGAAAAUAUGUCAGUGUCCACUGCUCUAUUAGGUUGGUACAAGAGUAUUUGCGGUUUUCACCACAAUUAAAAACCACAAUUACUUUUGCACCAAUGUAAUAUUUAAUGUCAAGCAAGUAACUUAAGCUCAUUUUUCCUUUCUAAAAGGUUAUUUUUGUGUGUACAGGCACAACCUGACUUGAUCUCGUAACUUAAGCUCAUUUUUCCUUUCUAAAAGGUUAUUUUUGUGUGUACAGGCACAACCUGACUUGAUCUCUGUGAUUCCAUAUUAAUUUCCCUAUGCCUUAUUUUCCUCACCUAAAAAAAUGAAGACAGUACCUCAUGGAUUUCUCUUGAAGAAUAAAUAAUAGAAACCAUUGUAGCACUCAGUAAAUAUAAAUUGCUGUACGAACAUUACUAAAUCACAGCCAUUGUGCUGUCUACAUAAGCACUUUUCAUUUGGGUUCCUUGCUAAUGCAUUAAUCUGUUGCCAGAGGUAAGACCCUGCAACCGAUGUCAGAAGUGGAUGAAUUUGUUUCCCUGAAUAUGCCUAGCUUUUAAAGGCUAUGCUUACUGAUGAGAGGCAUAACUUU